UGCGUAGGCGGUUCGUUAAGUCGGAUGUGAAAACUCUGGGCUCAACCCAGAGCCUGCAUCCGAAACUGGCGGGCUAGAGUUCUGGAGGGGGUAGCGGAAUUCCUGGUGUAGCGGUGAAAUGCGUAGAUAUCAGGAGGAACACCGGUGGCGAAGGCGGCUACCUGGACAGAAACUGACGCUGAGGCACGAAAGCUAGGGGAGCAAACA
rnacentral:rRNA from 1 species